UUGAAACAAGGGGUCGCUCCGGUGAGCCCUGCGCCGGCGGAAACGUCGUGCUGCGGGACCCGGUCGGCCUCGUCCACUCUCACACCCCUGUGCACCUUUGGGAAGGCGGGGCCUCGUGCCUCGUCGGCCCGCUCACAAACUCUUGUAAUGUACUCUGAAUGUCGUCGCGGACUCUGAGCCGCUAGAAACAGUAA
rnacentral:misc_RNA from 1 species